rnacentral:piRNA from 1 species
UUAGAACAUGGUGUGAUGAGCUACNGUUUUU